rnacentral:rRNA from 1 species
GAUGAACGCUGGCGGCGUGCCUAAUACAUGCAAGUCGAGCGAACAGACGAGGAGCUUGCUCCUCUGACGUUAGCGGCGGACGGGUGAGUAACACGUGGAUAACCUACCUAUAAGACUGGGAUAACUUCGGGAAACCGGAGCUAAUACCGGAUAAUAUAUUGAACCGCAUGGUUCAAUAGUGAAAGACGGUUUUGCUGUCACUUAUAGAUGGAUCCGCGCCGCAUUAGCUAGUUGGUAAGGUAACGGCUUACCAAGGCAACGAUGCGUAGCCGACCUGAGAGGGUGAUCGGCCACACUGGAACUGAGCCCCGGUCCAGACUCCUACGGGAGGCAGCAGUAGGGAAUCUUCCGAAAUGGGCGAAAGCCUGACGGAGCAACGCCGCGUGAGUGAUGAAGGUCUUCGGAUCGUAAAACUCUGUUAUUAGGGAAGAACAAAUGUGUAAGUAACUAUGCACGUCUUGACGGUACCUAAUCAGAAAGCCACGGCUAACUACGU